UACGUAGGGGGCAAGCGUUGUCCGGAAUCACUGGGCGUAAAGCGUGCGUAGGCGGUCAUGUAAGUCCGGAGUGAAAGUCCAGGGCUCAACCCUGGGAAUGCUUUGGAAACUGUGUGACUUGAGUGCUGGAGAGGCAAGGGGAAUUCAACGUGUAGCGGUGAAAUGCGUAGAUAUGUGGAGGAAUACCAGUGGCGAAGGCGCCUUGCUGGACAGAAACUGACGCUGAGGCACGAAAGCGUGGGGAGCAAACAGG
rnacentral:rRNA from 1 species